UACACAUCUUAUCCAAUAAUUCCAAGCAAUUUCGCUACUCAAUAUAUAUUUAUUAUAUACGUUGACAAGACGUAAAAACAGUAAAUGGAUGAAUUCAAUGAAUAAUAUUAAUGAGUAACGUUAAUGGCAAGUAAUAAUAUGUACAUUGCUAUUAAAAGGCAUGAAGGUAAAUAACAGAGAGUAAUAACUAAAAUAGCGAUGCUUUACGGCCGGGGCAGCUGCUUCCGGGUGUUGGAGUCAAAGUUCACGGAGUUGGAGCCAUAAUUUAUAAUGAUAAAGCGAACCAUAUAAAUUUUUUUGUUGGUAGGUUGGAGCCAACUUCUGGGUAGUUGGGUCGAAAUUUCGUGGUUUAUACUCCUUAAUGACAUUUUAUUUCAUUCUGGAAGGUUCUGUGCAUGCAAAAAAUGGUAGAUUUGAGAGGUGCUAACUAAAAAUUAAGAUUUUGUGAUAUGAAAUGAAUUCCCCUAUUCAUUUUAUUACGUUCGAAUAAAUUAUAAAAUUACAAUGAAAGUAACUUCACUUUACAAGUCUUGCGUGUACAGAAUAAACGUGUUAACUUCAUAACAUUGAAUUUUUAUAAAUAAACACCAAGAUAUGGAAAAGUGGGCUCACUUCGAUAGUGAGGAAAACAGUGGCCUAAUGUCUGCCAUGACCAAAGCAGAACAUUACAUGUGGAAAUGUUUUCAACAAGUGCAUUCUAUAAAUGACUGAAGACAAAAUAGCAGUAACGCAAGCAAAAAGCAAAUUUUAACUACAAUAAACACAAUGAGAUUAUCAUCCAACACGGGAGACAUGGAAAAACAGGAGCACUUUGAUGGCAUAUAUGGCACUGGCCUAAUGCCGGUUCUGACCAAAGUAAAACAUUACACUAUACAUAGAAAUGUUUUUAACAAGUGCAUUCUAUAAAUGGCUAAUUACAUAGAGGCAGCAAAAAGCAAG